AUGGCGGCGAGGGCUUGGCCGACGAGCCCCUGCUACGAACACAGCAGGGGGGUGAGCGAGCAGUGGGUGAGCGGCGGCGAGGCGGCGUGGUGGAAGGAGCGGGGCGCAGGCGAGCCGUGCCGCGUGGCGUCCAGGGCGCACCUGCGGUGGAGGGGAGGGGAGGAAGCGGGGAGUAGCUCCCGCGAACGCCAUCCGUGGCGGGGAGGCGGCGAGGCGGCGAGGCGCUCGCGCGGAGGCCAUGCGUGGCGGGGAGGGAGAGAGGCGGCGAGGCGCCCGCGCGGAAGACAUGAACGGCGGCGACGGGUGCGCAGCCCGCGCUCGCGCUCGCGCGGCCGCGGGAGGUGGCGCGAAGAGGGGAGGGUACCGCGCUCGAGCGGCGGCGGGAGGUGGCGCGAAGAGGGGAGGGGGCCGCGCUCGCGCGGCGGCGGGAGGUGGAGGGGAGCGAUGGCGUGGUCGCGCGGGGUGGCGGGUGGCGCCGCGGCCGCGGCGCGGAACGUCCAUGGCUGCCGGACGAAGCCGCGAUUGGUUGGGGAGAAGGGGGGGAAUGGAGACGAUGGUUCACUUAUCCUGGCCGACCCGGUCGCGAGCCGGAUUGGACGCGCCGCACCGACCCGGCUGCGCCGCGCCGGGCCAGACGCGCCGCGCAGCAGCGCCAUCCUGCAGUGCUGCUGGUGCUGCUCCCUGAGCGCGGCGCGCGGCGAGGUUCGUCUCUGA
rnacentral:rRNA from 1 species